UGUGGAUGUGGGAGUUUGCUCUACCACAUACAAAAUAUUAACACAAUUUUCCUCUUCAGAGCUGAGAUAUGGAAGCAGAUAUAGAUAGGAAGAGCGAUAAGGUAGGAAGAGCGAUCAGGAAGGAAGUUCGAUAAGGAAGGAAGUUCGAUAAGGAAGGAAGAGCGAUAUGGAAAGAGAUUGGAGCGGGGACCAUAACACCACUACUAACAGAGAAGCGGGAAAGGUAAUUUCAGAGAUUGGAGCGAAAAGGGAAGUUUUGAGCCAAAGAUGUUGUACUUGAGCGAACAUGAAAUGGCUAUUUUCUUAUUGGAGCAAGUGGUGGACUGAAUCAACAAAGAACAGGAGUAAGUCAAAACAUACAUUAUGUUAUAUUUUUGGGGAAAUAUUCUAAUGGAAGAUAUUGUAAUUUCACGAAUGCAAAAUGUUACUUGUCUCUGAGUUACUGCAUUUUCUAUACGAAUCAAUAAGCUUUGCUUUAGUUGAAUUGUACUAAUUGAGUUUCGAUGAUUCGGGCAUCCUAACAAACUUAUUUUUUCCACCGACCAUGGUGUGUGCUAUUUCUUUAGAAAUAAUAAUUUGCUUCUGGCACACUGAUAUCAUAUGUUGUAGUUGUUUGUCGGAUCCUGAAUGUAACCCUAGUGAUACUUGACUUGGAUCAUAAUUCAUAUUGGAAGGAUGAUAGUGACUUUGUUGACAUUUUUGACGUCAAAUGGUUCAUUUCUUACCUUGCAAAAGAUGUUACUAUUGUCAAAAGGGUUCCAGAUAAAUUCAUGCGAUUAUUGGAAAAACCUCCAUACACUAUGCGUGUCCCGAGGAAAUCCCCUCCUGAAUAUUAUCUAGGUCAAGUUCUGCCAAUACUUCAAAGAAGAUUCGUAGGAUCAUUUUCAGAUACUAUAUCAAUGAUGCUAUUUAGGUUGAUUGUAUAAAUAAUUUCUAGGACUUUCUGUUUCUAGUUCGAUCCCUCAAUUUUCUAUAAAAAUCCAUAAUUUGUGUACAUUUCAUGAAACAUAAAUCCCUAAAAACCCAACACCACCUCUGGACCUGUCCCAAGCGCAGUGCCAGACCAAAGGGAGAACCGGGUACCUAAGGCCAAGCACCCACACCAACAACCCAGCAUAGGUCAGCCGUAACACUCCUACGUUAAUGCCUUCUAUAUUAAAUACCAUUCCCUCUAUGCUUUCCCACAAGAUGUGGGAUUUUGGUUCUUCACUGUUUUGUUUUAAAAGUUCUCAAACUUCUAAUUGAUUCUGCAAAGGCUGUACGCAUGAACCGCCGGUGAUGGAUUGCUAAAUCUCCCAGGCGGCCUUUCUUUGGGAACCUCUGUUGCCUGACCUUGCAGCCCUGGUGACUGCUUACCAGAGAUUGGUUCUCUCCCGGGUUGAUGAAGUUCCUUUCAGCUGCGGCCUAAAUAAGACGGUCCGAAGAGAGGGGCGUUGAAUGGCUUCCAUGAUUGGAUGAGAAUACAAGAGCACAAGAAGGCGGAAAUGGAUCCUGCAAAUCGCUGGAAGACGAUUCUACUCAGACUCUUCCAAUCGACUUCUUCAAGAAUCUCUAUUCUUUCUCUGACCUCUUUCCACCCAUUCAUCUUUCAUGUAUGCAUCUAUGAUUUCUGCAUUUUCAAUUGUUCAAUUUUAGCGGAUUUAUUAAGUU